UAGGGAAUCUUCCGCAAUGGGCGAAAGUUUGACGGAGCAACGCCGCGUGAGUGAUGAAGGUCUUCGGAUCGUAAAACUCUGUUAUUAGGGAAGAACAAAUGUGUAAGUAACUAUGCACGUCUUGACGGUACCUAAUCAGAAAGCCACGGCUAACUACGUGCCAGCAGCCGCGGUAAUACGUAGGUGGCAAGCGUUAUCCGGAAUUAUUGGGCGUAAAGCGCGCGUAGGCGGUUUUUUAAGUCUGAUGUGAAAGCCCACGGCUCAACCGUGGAGGGUCAUUGGAAACUGGAAAACUUGAGUGCAGAAGAGGAAAGUGGAAUUCCAUGUGUAGCGGUGAAAUGCGCAGAGAUAUGGAGGAACACCAGUGGCGAAGGCGACUUUCUGGUCUGUAACUGACGCUGAUGUGCGAAAGCGUGGGGAUCAAACAGG
rnacentral:rRNA from 1 species